CAAGGUUAAAACUCAAAUGAAUUGACGGGGGCCCGCACAAGCGGUGGAGCAUGUGGUUUAAUUCGAUGCAACGCGAAGAACNUUACCUACUCUUGACAUCCAGAGAANUUAGCAGAGAUGCUUUGGUGCCUUCGGGAACUCUGAGACAGGUGNUGCAUGGCUGUCGUCAGCUCGUGUUGUGAAAUGUUGGGUUAAGUCCCGCAACGAGCGCAACCCUUAUCCUUUGUUGCCAGCGGUUAGGCCGGGAACUCAAAGGAGACUGCCAGUGAUAAACUGGAGGAAGGUGGGGAUGACGUCAAGUCAUCAUGGCCCUUACGAGUAGGGCUACACACGUGNUACAAUGGCGCAUACAAAGAGAAGCGACCUCGCGAGAGCAAGCGGACCUCAUAAAGUGCGUCGUAGUCCGGAUUGGAGUCUGCAACUCGACUCCAUGAAGUCGGAAUCGCUAGUAAUCGUGGAUCAGAAUGCCACGGUGAAUACGUUCCCGGGCNUUGUACACACCGCCCGUCACACCAUGGGAGUGGGUUGCAAAAGAAGUAGGUAGCUUAACCUUNGGGAGGGUGU
rnacentral:rRNA from 1 species